rnacentral:rRNA from 1 species
GGGCGAAGCCUGAUGCAGCGACGCCGCGUGAGGGAUGACGGCCUUCGGGUUGUAAACCUCUUUCAGCAGGGAACAAGCGAAAGUGACGGUCCCUGCAAAAAAAGCGCCGGCUAACUACGUGCCAGCAGCCGCGGUAAUACGUAGGGCGCAAGCGUUGUCCGGAAUUAUUGGGCGUAAAGAGCUCGUAGGCGGCUUGUCGCGUCGGAUGUGAAAGCUCGGGGCUUAACCCCGGGUCUGCAUUCGAUACGGGCAGGCUAGAGUGUGGUAGGGGAGAUCGGAAUUCCUGGUGUAGCGGUGAAAUGCGCAGAUAUCAGGAGGAACACCGGUGGCGAAGGCGGAUCUCUGGGCCAUUACUGACGCUGAGGAGCGAAAGCGUGGGGAGCGAACAGGAUUAGAUACCCUGGAAGUCCACGCCGUACUCUUGGGAACUAGGUGUUGGCGACAUUCAACUUCGUCGAUGCCGCAGCUAACGCAUUAAGUUCCCCGCCGGGGAUGUACGGGAGCCGGCUAAAACUUAUAUGAAUUGAUGGGUGCCUGCACAAGCAGCGGAGCAUGUGGUUUAAUUCGAUGCUUCGCGAGGAACCUUACCCAAGACUUGUCAUAACCGGAUAGUCCUAUAGAUCGUCCCUCCUUGUGCCGGA